CAUUGGGAACUCGGCCUGGUCUCCUUCCGAUGCCGCCUGGGCCCGCUUCAUCACCGACAGACGAAGAGCGGAGCGCACCUGGGCCCAGAGACUCCUCACAUUCCAUUAGGUCACUGACUCUCCAGCUCUCCCUCCAGCCCAGAUCUUUCUCCGGACCUUGACCACACAGGUAAGCUAUGGGUUGAAUUUGGUCUCUCCAGCAUGUCCCACCCCAAAUUCAUUUGUUAAAGUCUUAGUCCCCAGAGCCCCAUAACGUGACCUCAUUUGGGAUUAGGGUGGUUACUGUGAUGAGGUCAUUCUGGAUUAGGCUGGUUCCCUAAUCCCAUAUGACUGGUAUCCUUCUAUAAAAAAGGGGAGAUUUGGACACAAACACACACACAGGGAGAACAGCGUGUGAACAUGAAGCAGGGAUCAGGGUGUCUACCAGCCAGGGAAGGCCAAAGAUUGUUGGCAAACCACCAAAGCUAGAAGAUUGGCCUAGAACAGAUUCUCUUCCCACAGACCUCAGAAGGAACCAGCCCUGCCAAAGCCUCGACCUUGAACUUCUUGCCUCCACGACUAUGAGAGAAUACGUUUCUGUCCUUCUGUGAGAGAAUACAUUUCUGUCCUUCAAGCUUCUCAGUUUAUUACUUUCUUACCGCAGGCAGCCACUGCAAACAAGUCACUGUCCAGGCGGCUGCCCGCCCUGUGGCAAUGGCUCUCCAGGAUGCAGGUGGUCUCUGUGCCCCACCCUUCGUCACAGCUAACAGUUGGGCCAAUCGGAUUCUCCCUCGCAGGAAUUUGGCACGGAUCUGAGAGAGCCAGGGCUGGGACGUGUCAGAGCUCCAGGAGGGCAGCUCCCUGGAGGGAAGACCCACAAACUCCUCUUUAGGUCCCUGGAAUUUCUCUGGUCCCAGCCCUUCCUAAAGCUUGCUUGUCUGUAUCUGUGGAUGUCAUAUGACCCUGGAGUAUCUUUCCCUUACCUCCCUUUUUUAAAUCUCGAGUUAGCAUGUAGCAUUCACCACUCUAACUGUAAGUAGCAGAAAAACCCAAUUUAGCCACUAGCUGUGUUAGGCCCUGUGGGCUCCCUUAGGGUGAGGCCCAGGCUUUGGAGCAGUCUCCGUUGUGCCUUCAAUGUAGAGCCACGGGGGCUUUGUCAUCAGGAGGCCAUUUACGGGCCGCCUGGGUGACCCAUGGGUUAAGCGUCGUCCAACUCUUGAUUUCAACUCCGGUCAUGAUCUCACGGUUCACGAGAUUGAGCCCUGUGUCAGGUUCUGCGCUGACAGAGAGGAGCCUGCUUGGGAUUCUCUCUCUCCCUCUCUCUUGGCCUCUCCUCACGCUCUCUCUC